GUCUUGAUCCCUGCUGGGAAAAUAUCCACACAUUGUGAUGAGCAUGUUGAGUAUAAGCGUAGCAAGGUCAGUCUCAUUCAACACAGCCUGGCCACUGGCAAGCAAGCACCACUUCAGCUGAGGAAUGACUUGUAAUGGUCGCCAGCCAUCCAUACCUUGAGCCCAGCAACGCGUUUUUGAAGUCAGCUUUCCGCUAUCCCAUAGUUCCUGCAUCUCUUGAAAGCUGUAAGGACCACUCCUUUCUUUGUCAGCAUUGCCAAAGUACCAUUCUUUCUCACUCUCCCUCUUCAUAUCAGGUGCUGCCUCAAUCACAUUGCUCUGCAGAGGCACUGUAGCUCUGCUUGUGUGAAGAUGUGCUAGAGUGAGCAGAUCCACAAGGAUUCUAAUUCCAUUUGAAUCCAUAAGGUCCUUCACAUUUUUCUUAUUAAGAAUCAACUUGUUGAGAAACAGUAUCAGUCUAUCCCGCUC
rnacentral:lncRNA from 1 species